ACCCCCACUUUGACAACCUGUGAGACUACACUAAGAUCAUUACAGCCAUGCUGAAGGUUGCACUUAUUCUGGGAUGCCUCCUGAGCCUCAUUGUGGCUCAACCAAUGGAGCACCAGCGAUUUGCCCGCUCUGACUCUGAUUCAGGGUCAAACUCAAAUGAGGGAUCAGCAAUUAACAAUACCCUGCUAGCCCUCUUUGCUCAGCUUCUGGCUGCUCUCGCAACAACAACAACUGCAGCUACAACAACAGUAGCCACCACAUAAACGGAAGCCUUGAACACUGGCUAUUUGGUCAUCUGUUGCUGAGAAACUAUUUCUCAUUCUUUCAUUUGUUAAAAACAUUGAGAGCUUUAU